AAGUAUGUUUGACUUCCUGCAUAUAAAAUUCAUAGGGCCUUGAUAAAAUUCAAAUACUAACAUCACAAUUCACAUAGGAAAGGAACAUGUUUUCACCAUAACUUUUAAAAAUUUGUGUCAAUUUGGAAUACAAUUAAAGUGAACAAGUGUGAAAUUUGAAUGAAAAUAACCAACAUUCCUGACCUAACCUUACCUACUUUCCUAAAAAGUUUGUAAUACCCUUAAUACCAACCUAAAACCCCCAUGCCAGAUGUCUACAACAUACAAACCUUUCAACCAGCCUACUACAGUACCUAACACCUCACAACCUAUUCCAUUCCGAACCUAUUGAUUGGGAUUUUUGUAUACUUUUAUACUCAUUGCAUCCUAGCUUGCUAUUAUAGCAAACAUGCAGGUAUUUAAAGAAAUGUUUUGUUUUUCCUUUUUAGCUGUUGAAAUUUCUUGAAUGCAAACACAACACAACACACCAUGCGCACAUGACAGAGGUCUCCGUCACUGCGGAGGGAAGAUCGCAAUGCUGCUUGCAGGCUGUUGACAGAAAGUGAUCAGUUGUCGUGUUCCGCCAGCUGCUGCGCCGGCGUUGGCAGCGCACAGCCGCUACCAGCUGACACGCCGACCGGUGCGCGGCGCGCGUGCGCCGGGCGCCGACGGCCGUCGUCUGGCAGCAACAGCGCUGCCAGUGACUCGCGCUGCUGCUGCAGAAACUGGACAAGGAUCGUAGAAUCCUGGCGUGUUUUUGUAACGUCCAUUAGAGUGAUUUAGACGCAGCGUGUAGAAAGGACUCGUUUAUUGACGUGUGACUUUCUGACAGCUCAGUCACCUGUUGACGGCGGCGCACAGCGUCACCUACCCGCCCUACAGCCGGCCCAGCAGGGUGAGUAGUGAGUACCAAUACCCGCCCUGCAGCCGGCCCCAGCAGGCGGACGGAGAGGCCCGCCCGGGCCCAGUGCCGCACGGAGAGGCGGCGGCGCUGGAGGCCAACACCCCGGCUCGCGGCCUGUAGCUGACGGUGCUGGAGCCGCGAGUCACCGUGGUGGCUGGCCAUGGAGACUUGGAAAAGGCCGGUGAGGUGCGUCUCCAGCUGCGCUGUCAGACGAUCCAGUGGAACGAGCAGCAGCCCAUGUACCCGUCCCGGCUGUGCCGGUGUGUCUCCCAGCUUGAGCGGCGCCGGCCGACCGCUGCGCUGCUCUACAACUGCCACGUCCACACACGAUGCACGGUGACGGCUGACCAGGCGGUGCUGGUCUCGGCCGCGACCGACGGCCAGCCCGCCCAGGAGCACCAGGCUUUAGAGGCUGAUUAGUGGGCAGAUACAUUCAAUUAGCUAUUAAUAAUUGAUUAUGCAAACAUU